rnacentral:piRNA from 1 species
UGUUGGUGUCCAUGGACCUAGCUCCUCUCCCG